rnacentral:rRNA from 1 species
UACGUAGGGAGCAAGCGUUGUCCGGAAUCAUUGGGCGUAAAGCGCGCGUAGGUGGCUUCGUAAGUCCGUUGUGAAAGUCAAAGGCUCAACCUUUGAAAGCCGAUGGAUACUGCGGAGCUAGAGUACGGAAGAGGCGAGUGGAAUUCCUGGUGUAGCGGUGAAAUGCGCAGAUAUCAGGAGGAACACCAAUGGCGAAGGCAGCUCACUGGGACGGUAUUGACGCUGAGACGCGAAAGCGUGGGGAGCAAACAGG